rnacentral:rRNA from 2 species
GUCAACUUGAGAGUUUGAUCCUGGCUCAGAACGAACGCUGGCGGCAGGCUUAACACAUGCAAGUCGAACGAACCGUAUCUUUCGGGAUACAAUGGUUAGUGGCGCACGGGUGAGUAACGCGUGGGAACAUACACUGGAGUACGGAAUAACCCAAGGAAACUUGGGCUAAUACCGCAUACGCCCUAAGGGGGAAAGAUUUAUCGCUCUAGAAUUGGCCCGCGUCUGAUUAGGUUGUUGGUGGGGUAAUGGCCUACCAAGCUUACGAUCAGUAGCUGGUUUGAGAGGAUGAUCAGCCACACUGGGACUGAGACACGGCCCAGACUCCUACGGGAGGCAGCAGUGGGGAAUAUUGGACAAUGGG